GGCUGGGGCUUCGGGGAAGCAGGAAGGACCCAGAGCCCGGGUCGGGUGCUCCUCAGAGAGACGCGGAGGAAAGGGGUGAGCAUGCAGCCUGUCUCCAGAUGCUCGUAAACAGCCGUGCCUACAGGGUGGCCACAGAGACCUUCUCGAAAACGUUGCCAAUGGCGCAGUGAUUGGCCUCUAUCUGCAAGGACCUCGAUGUCCUAUUUGGGAAAAUUGUUUAGUCAUGAGUGCAAUCUGUGUGAGAUGCAACAGCAAGCGAGGGUUGCGAGAAAUGAUCUGACUUGCAUUACAACUCCUAGGCCGGGAAGGCUCUGUUGGGUGACCGCUCCCUGUAUUUUUCCAUCAGCGGCAAAGUCGUUAGUGGCAUAAAGUGUCACUAACACGUGAAAGGAUGACCAGAGGAGAGAGACUCAUUCCACUUGACCAACCCAAACACCUGUGGAUCGGGUUAGGUGCUUCUUAUCCCUUGGUUCUGCAAGUAGGUUCUAGAAUCUCUCAAAGCAGAAUCGGGAGCAUCGCAGGGCUCCAGAAAAAUCUGCUGGCCCUACAGCGACCACAGAAAAUCCGUGACCUUCAGCGCAAGGGGCCUCCCAGCCCGUCUCCACCUCUUCUCCUUGGAACGCUCUCCAACACCCCCCGCGCAAGUCUAUGAAGACCAAGGAGAUCGCACGCCUACAAGAUGCAGACGCUUCUUGCUCUGGUCCCUGCUCUAGAAGAGAAGCCACAGACGUGAGUCACACACCCAGAGCCCUGUGUGUCUGCAGGGACCAGCUGGGCCAUCUGGUCUACCGGCCCCACAGCGCUGCGGUCACCCCCACCGCCGCUGUGCCAGCCCGCCCCGGCCAGCGCCACGGGCCCCUGGUGGGUUGAUGAGCCCACCUGCUUGUCUCCAGUGGCCACUGAGCCACCACCUCCAGCUGUGAGCCCCACGAGGACAGAGCCUCACUUACCCACUGUACCUUCCAAGACUACAACAUCUUUGGGCGUGUGGUAGGAAUUCAAUAACUACUUUGGGAUGAGCACAUGCAUAUUUACAGUGAUUACACUGGGGCAGGGGGACAAAGAA